UACGUAGGGCGCAAGCGUCGUCCGGAAUUAUUGGGCGUAAAGAGCUCGUAGGCGGUUUGUCGCGUCUGUCGUGAAAGCUUGGGGCUUAACCCCAAGUCUGCGGUGGAUACGGGCAGACUAGAGGCAGGUAGGGGAGAACGGAAUUCCCGGUGUAGCGGUGAAAUGCGCAGAUAUCGGGAGGAACACCGGUGGCGAAGGCGGUUCUCUGGGCCUGUACUGACGCUGAGGAGCGAAAGCGUGGGGAGCGAACAGG
rnacentral:rRNA from 1 species